GUGAUCUCUGUCAAAUAAAUAAAAUCUUAAAAAAAAAAAAAAAAAAAAAAACAAGCAAAAAAAACCCCGGCUCAAAAUUCUUCAGUGUCUCCCAUUUCACCCAGAGGGAAAGCCAAAUUCUCACACUGGCCUUUAAAGCCUUACCCAGUAUAGUUCCCAGUUGCCUCUGUCAUUCCUCUCCCAUUGCUCUGCACCCUGCCUCUCAUUCCCCUCCUGCCACCCUGGCCUCCUUGCCAUACCUUCAACACUCCAGGUAUGCUGCUCCUAUCUCAAGGCCUUUGCACUGCCUCAGCUCUGUCUAAAAACUUCUCCCAAAUAUCCACAUGGCUUACUCCCUUUUCCCCUUGAAGGCUUGCUGUAGGAGAGAACCCCCUGAUUAACAUGGCAGCCCCCUCUUCACCCUAGCCAAUAUUUUUUCUUUAGCCUUUAUCACCUUCUAACACUGCAUCUAUCUUGCUGUCUAGUCCCUUCCAUCCUACCCCCAUUGGAUUUAAGCUUCAUUGGGGGUAGUUCUCUUUCUGUUUGCUCACUGAUAGGUCUUAUCAGGCCCAGAAUAUGUCUGACACAUGGUUGGUAUGAGACCACAGAUGUGCUCCAGGCCCUGAGAAGGCUCCACUCCAGCAUGUGUCUAGCCCAGGGCAAGGGGCUACCCUUGGCUCACACAGCUGCCAUCCGUCCCACAGGCAUCACCUGUUACAGCAAACAGGAGCUCAGAGGACCCGGGCCAGGCUUCCUUCAGCACCUGCUACCUUGCAGCCAGCAGAUUUACCUGUCUUUCCCGAGAGCUUUUCCCAACCACAGUGGAGAGGUACAGAAAGAAGGUAUAUACAGAAAACAGAGGCCUCACAGGAUGCUUCAGGGCCUGUCUCUGCCCCCACCACAAGCUCAUCUAUCAUCACCAAGUCACAGAGUCCAAGCUCUGUCCACUCACCCCUGUCUACAAUGAGGAGGGCAGCCACAGCCAGGGCAACCAUCCACGAGCGGACAGCCAUGCUGAUCUUGGGCUGAUGCAUCCGAGCUAGCUGGGGUCCUGGGCCAGGGGAAUGACUGGGGCCUGUUUAUAGGGCCGAUCCCCACCCUUAUCUUAUCUAGGGCCAGAUGGAGAGACUGGGAGCGGCAUCCACAAUUAGGUACCUGCACCACAGCAUCAGAGAUGCCGAACCCGGGGCAGCCUGGGGCUGUGCCUGCAGAGCUGGCCGAUUUCCAGAAUGAGGUGAAGUUUGGACAACCUCCAAAGUGGCCACCAGUCUGAGGGCUGGGGCAUGUGAGGGAGGAAAAUGGAAGUAGAAAAACAGAGACACCAAGUCAGAGAGACUGAAAGAGGAGAGACAGAUCAGAAAGGAGA